UACGAGGGGAGCAAGCGUUGUUCGGAAUCAUUGGGCGUAAAGGGCGCGUAGGCGGCAGUACAAGUCUGGGGUGAAAGCCCUCGGCUUAACCGAGGAAUUGCCUUGGAAACUGUACGGCUUGAGUAUUGGAGAGGAAAGCGGAAUUCCCAGUGUAGCGGUGAAAUGCGUAGAUAUUGGGAGGAACACCGGUGGCGAAGGCGGCUUUCUGGACAAUCACUGACGCUGAGGCGCGAAAGCCAGGGGAGCAAACGGG
rnacentral:rRNA from 1 species